UGGCCAUCACAAGGAAUACGAUGCAACCUUAUUAUAUAUAUUUUUAAAAUUAAUCAUUAUUAAAUAAAAUAUGGUCAAUAGAAAUUUCCAAUAUAUUUUAAAUUAAUAAAUUCUAAUUACUUUAGUUGAAUAAUUAAACCCAGAAAGAUAGUGACCGAUUAUAAAUAGAAGCCGAAUAUAAAUUUGCUCGAAAAAUUAAAU
rnacentral:lncRNA from 1 species